rnacentral:rRNA from 1 species
UAGGGAAUCUUCCACAAUGGACGCAAGUCUGAUGGAGCAACGCCGCGUGAGUGAAGAAGGCUUUCGGGUCGUAAAACUCUGUUGUUGGAGAAGAAUGGUCGGCAGAGUAACUGUUGUCGGCGUGACGGUAUCCAACCAGAAAGCCACGGCUAACUACGUGCCAGCAGCCGCGGUAAUACGUAGGUGGCAAGCGUUAUCCGGAUUUAUUGGGCGUAAAGCGAGCGCAGGCGGUUUUUUAAGUCUGAUGUGAAAGCCCUCGGCUUAACCGAGGAAGCGCAUCGGAAACUGGGAAACUUGAGUGCAGAAGAGGACAGUGGAACUCCAUGUGUAGCGGUGAAAUGCGUAGAUAUAUGGAAGAACACCAGUGGCGAAGGCGGCUGUCUGGCCUGUAACUGACGCUGAGGCUCGAAAGCAUGGGUAGCGAACAGGAUUAGAUACCCUGGUGAGUCCAUGCCGUAAACGAUG